GGAGACGUGGCCGAGAGGUCGAAGGCGCUUGAUUCGAAAUCAAGUGUAGGGGCAACUUUACCGGGGGUUCGAAUCCCUCCGUCUCCG
rnacentral:tRNA from 1 species